rnacentral:lncRNA from 1 species
GAAUGUGACAAAAAUAUAUCUAUCAAGUUAAAAGAUCAUGGAGAACAUUACGAAGAUGUACAUCAAAAAAAGAAUGAGAGAAAAUGUAAUGUCUACCCCAAAUAUAGAAUGAGAGAAAAUGUAAUGAAGGUCUACCCAGGAGGCACUUUAAGGAUUUAUUUAAAAAAACAUGAUUCAUAUACUUGACGCCAAGUUUAUUAAAGAUAAGGUUUAGCUCAUUCUCUCUAU